CCUGGUUGAUCCUGCCAGUAGUCAUAUGCUUGUCUCAAAGAUUAAGCCAUGCAUGUCUAAGUAUAAACAACUCGUACUUGUGAAACUGCGAACGGCUCAUUAAAUCAGUUAUAGUUUAUUUGAUGGUAACCUUUCUACAUGGAUAACCGUAGGAAAAUAGGGCUAAUACAUGCUAAGAAACCCGACUUUUGGGAAGGGUUGUAUUUAUUAGAUAAAAAACCAAUACGUCUUCGGGCGUUUUGAUGAGGAACCAUAAUAACUAGACUAAUCGCAUGUCCUUGUGGCGGCGAUGCUUCAUUCAAAUUUCUGCCCUAUCAACUUUCGAUGGUAGUAUAGAGGACUACCAUGGUGAUAACGGGUAACGGAGAAUUAGGGUUCGAUUCCGGAGAGGGAGCCUGAGAGAUGGCUACCACUUCUAAGGAGGGCAGCAGGCGCGCAAAUUACCCAAUCGGAAAACCCGGAGGUAGUGACAAGAAAUAACAAGUCGGUGGACCUUGUCCACUGUCAUUGGAAUGAGUACAACUUAAAACCCUUAACGAGUAGCAAUUGGAGGGCAAGUCUGGUGCCAGCAGCCGCGGUAAUUCCAGCUCCAAUAGCGUAUAUUAAAGUUGUUGCAGUUAAAAAGCUCGUAGUUGGACCUUAGCUGUGACGUAGGCGGUCCUCCGUGAAGGAGUGUACUGUCUCGGUGCAGUUAUUUACUUGGGAGAUUGUUCGGUUCGGCCCUUAAUUGGGUCGGGCAUCGUUGUUUUCGGACGGCGGAGGCAGCGGUUUCUGCGGAGGUCGUUGUUUGGGCGCUCCCUCAUUUACUGUGAGUAAAUUAGAGUGUUUAAAGCAGCCUCUUUGGGCUUUGAAUACUAUUAGCAUGGGAUAAUGAAAUAGGACUUUGGUGCUAUUUUGUUGGUUUCUAGAACCGAAGUAAUGAUUAAUAGGGAUAGUUGGGGGCAUUUGUAUUUAGUUGUCAGAGGUGAAAUUCAUGGAUUUACGAAAGACAAACAUCAGCGAAAGCAUUUGCCAAGGAUGUUUUCAUUAAUCAAGAACGAAAGUUAGGGGAUCGAAGAUGAUCAGAUACCGUCGUAGUCCUAUACCAUAAACUAUGCCGACCAGGGAUUUGUGGAAGUUGAUAAUAUGUCCCUUCGGGGGUGUAUAAUGACUCCAUGAGCACCUUGUGAGAAAUCAUAAGUGUUUGGGUUCCGGGGGGAGUAUGGUCGCAAGGCUGAAACUUAAAGGAAUUGACGGAGGGGCACCACCAGGCGUGGAGCUUGCGGCUUAAUU
rnacentral:rRNA from 1 species